rnacentral:lncRNA from 1 species
AUCCAUACAUCCAAAAUUCCAUAGCAUCCAUAUAUACAUAUAGUUCCAUAGCAUCCAUACAUACAUAGCUCCAUAACAAAUAUAAUAUACAACGAUACUUUGCGGGCAUUAGUAAGUAAUAUUUGGCACCGGUUCAGGAUUGCUUUCUAUUGAAGUUGUUUCCUCUGCUUGAUCUUGUGAUGUACCUUGUGAGAUUGUUGAUACAGUAGCC